CCAUCGACUCUAUUAAGAGGCACCAAAUACAAAGAUUAGAAAUAAAU
rfam:Stomoxys calcitrans breed 8C7A2A5H3J4 unplaced genomic scaffold Scaffold1622, whole genome shotgun sequence.